rnacentral:rRNA from 1 species
GGAGGCGUGCCUAAUACAUGCAAGUCGAACGAACGGAUUGAGGAGCUUGCUCUUCAAGAAGUUAGUGGCGGACGGGUGAGUAACACGUGGGUAACCUGCCCUUCAGCGGGGGAUAACAUCCGGAAACGGGUGCUAAUACCGCAUAGUUUCUUUUUCCGCCUGGAAGAAGAAGGAAAGAUGGCCUUUGUGCUAUCACUGAGGGAUGGACCCGCGGCGUAUUAGUUAGUUGGUGGGGUAAUGGCCUACCAAUACGAUGAUACGUAGCCGACCUGAGAGGGUGAUCGGCCACACUGGAACUGAGACACGGUCCAGACUCCUACGGGAGGCAGCAGUGGGGAAUAUUGCACAAUGGAGGAACUCUGAUGCAGCGACGCCGCGUGACGAUGAAGCUUCGGGUCGUAA